rnacentral:lncRNA from 1 species
GUGAACUUAUUAAUUUCUUUGAUUUAUUAAUAAACAUGUCAACAAAAAAAAAUAUCUUAGGAAUUUUGAAGGCCAAUGCGUGCAAGUUAAUGACUAUUGGAACUUGGAAGAUUUGUUCCUGAUACUAUGAAAGUAAAUUACACAGCAAUUUGCACAUAUUACUGCUCUAUUUAUUGAGAGACGAGCCCUCUACAAGAUUCUACAAAAUACAUGGGGAGAAAAACAGAUACCCAUUUACACAUACAUAAAUGAGCAAAAAAUUUUCUUCUAUUUCCGUGUAACAUACAACUACAAGAAAAAUAACUGAGCAAGUUUACAUUGUAACUGUGUUGAAGUAGCAGUAUGAGAGUUGUCUUGUGUGAUAAUAUGAAUAACUUGAGUGGCAUUGAAAUGGCUUGUUAAUACUGUAUCAUCAUAUAUGCUGCUCCAAAUGGUAACUG